rnacentral:rRNA from 1 species
UGGGGAAUUUUGGACAAUGGGCGCAAGCCUAAUCCAGCCAUGCCGCGUGCGGGAAGAAGGCCUUCGGGUUGUAAACCGCUUUUGUCAGGGAAGAAAUCUUCUGAGUUAAUACCUCGGGAGGAUGACGGUACCUGAAGAAUAAGCACCGGCUAACUACGUGCCAGCAGCCGCGGUAAUACGUAGGGUGCAAGCGUUAAUCGGAAUUACUGGGCGUAAAGCGUGCGCAGGCGGUUUUGUAAGACAGAGGUGAAAUCCCCGGGCUCAACCUGGGAACUGCCUUUGUGACUGCAAGGCUUGAGUGCGGCAGAGGGGGGAUGGAAUUCCGCGUGUAGCAGUGAAAAUGCGUAGAUAUGCGGAGG